rnacentral:sRNA from 2 species
UAUUCUGCCCCAUGGGGAAGGAUGAGAAGCUUCGACUAAGGUUCGAUUCGAGCGAAGCGAGAGAACGUUGCCGCAGGCAACGGCCCGAAGGGCGAGGCGCUUUAGCGCCGAGUAAUCCUUCCCCCACCACCA